rnacentral:miRNA from 1 species
AAUAAACACCUUAUUCUUGGG